rnacentral:lncRNA from 1 species
GCAUCUGAUUCCAAGAAAGAGUCUAUUGGAAUAAAAGGUCUAUAUGAGAAUGAGCAAAAGAAGAAUCUUCUCAAGAAGAAGGCGUCAAGCAAGGGAAAAUAUUUCCACUAUAAUGCCGACAGCCACACGGAGAGAAAUUGUCCUUCUACCUAGAUAGCCUAAAGAAAAAAGUGACACACCUUGUGAAAGUCUGUCAGAUCUGUUUGUUUGCAUGUUAAUGUAUUCAAGCAAAUAGUGAGUGCCACAGGAUCUGAGAGAUCUAAGGAUGAGAUAAACCAUAAGUAUAGGUGGUACCUAAGAUUAGGUC